rnacentral:misc_RNA from 1 species
UUGUGGAGAAGGACGCCGAAGGUGGGGCUGAUGACUGGGGUGAAGUCGUAACAAGGUAGCCGUACCGGAAGGUGCGGCUGGAUCACCUCCUAACAGGGAGACAAUAAAUUGAUUGUGAUGUCUAAGUUUUUUAUUCUUAGGCCGCAAUCCUGUCACCUUAAGGUCGAUCGGUACCUCAGAUUUUGAAUUAAUUUAUUUAUUAGUUCUUUUAUUUCAGUUCCUAAACUUGUCUAGGUCACACCCAACAAAGGUUUCUCCUGGGCCAUUAGCUCAGGUGGUUAGAGCGCACCCCUGAUAAGGGUGAGGUCCCUGGUUCAAGUCCAGGAUGGCCCAUUCGUUGUUGGGGGUAUAGCUCAGUUGGUAGAGCGCCUGCUUUGCAAGCAGGAUGUCAGCGGUUCGAGUCCGCUUACCUCCACUGAUAACUAUCCUGAUAACUAAAUUUUGGAGAAAAUUUGUAGAUGUGACUUAGAAUUGUCUAUUGAAAAGAACCUAGCUUCUUAUCAUCUUUCAUAUAGUUGAUAACAUGCUGGGCUCCCAUGGAUUUAUUCAUGAGAAUUCAGUAGAACCUUGAAAACUGCAUAGAUUAGAAAGAAUAAAGCAUCUCAUGGAUGCAUAAUUCUGUUUUUAUAACUUAGCCUUUAAACUAAAUUAUAAAUCUAAGGAUUCAUGUUUAAUUCUUGAGUAAAAGCCGAGCACAAUUAAUUUUUUGAUUGUAUUAAGGUCAAGCUACAA